rnacentral:rRNA from 1 species
GAUGAACGCUGGCGGCGUGCCUAAUACAUGCAAGUCGAGCGAACAGACGAGGAGCUUGUUCCUCUGACGUUAGCGGCGGACGGGUGAGUAACACGUGGAUCACCUACUUAUAAGACUGGGAUAAUUUCGGGAAACCGGAGCUAAUACCGGAUAAUAUAUUGAACCGCAUGGUUCAAUAGUGAAUGACGGUUUUGCUGUCACUUAUAGAUGGAUUCGUGCCUCAUUAGCUAGUUGGUAAGGUAACGGCUUACCAAGGCAACGAUGCGUAGCCGACCUGAGAGGAUGAUCAGCCACACUGGAACUGAGACACGGUCCAGACUCCUACGGGAGGCAGCAGUAGGGAAUCUUGCGCAAUGGGCGAAAGCCUGACGGAGCAACGCCGCGUGAGUGAUGAAGGUCUUCGGAUCGUAAAACUCUGUUAUUAGGGAAGAACAAAUGUGUAAGUAACUAUGCACGUCUUGACGGUACCUAAUCAAAAAGCCACGGCUAACUACGUG